AUGAGUUGCAUGCACCUAGUGCACGGGUGCAUGUGAGAGAGAAAAAGAGAGAGUUGUCUUUUUUGUGGGUUUAUAGAAGACGAGAGAAGGAUAGGAGAGAUUCAGAAAGAGGACUUGGGUUGUAGUUACUCUAUGCAGAAGAGAAGUCAGGUGUAAUCUUCUCUUAUUUAAUAAAUCUUAUUUUACCCACACAUUUUUUGUUUGGUUGUUUUUCUCUCUUUUGUGAUUGUAUCAGUUUUUGCUUAGGAGACGGGUUUAUGGUAAAAAUCUGAUUUGACCCCUUCGUUGCGGAAUCCCAACAAUCGGUACCGGAUCAACAAUAGUUGAUAUCGGAGUGGGUUACGGAUUCUCAAAAUUUGGUACCACGGCGGGUACCGGAUUCCCAACAAUUGAUAUCAGAGUCGAAGGUUACCGAUCUGUGGGACUGAUCGACGGAGAUGGCAAUGAAAUUCAAAAUCGAGAAGUUCGAUGCCAAGAACAAUUUUGGAUUAUGGCAAAUUAAACUACGGACAAUCCUCGUACAACAAGAGUUAGAUCAGACAUUGAACAGAAAAGAGGCGAAGCCGGCGGAGGUUACGGAUGCGGCAUGGACGAAGAUGGAGCGGAAGGCAUUGAGUGUGAGACCCCAGAUAGUCCUAUAUAUGAGAUAUAAUAGGGCUAAACUCUUAACCCGGCUUAAGCAUUUUGGGUGGUAGCUAGACCCAAGAGGUUAAGAGAGUUAAGCGUGCUAGGACGGGAGUAGUCCUAGGAUGGGUGACCCCCUGGGAAGUCGGGGCGUCACAGAUGGUAUCAGAGCCAAUUACCAGCCGGAAGUGUGAGAUGAGUCUCGGCUGAGCCAGGGUCUGGAUGAUGGGUUAGCGAGACAAGUCUCACAUUGCCUGGUACUUGUGAUCUGAGCCUGACGAGGGAUCUGAGCCUGACGAGGACGUCAAGGGCUUAAAGGAGGGGAGAUUGUGAGACCCCAGAUAGUCCUAUAUAUGAGAUAUAAUAGGGCUAAACUCUUAACCCGGCUUAAGCAUUUUGGGUGGUGGCUAGACCCAAGAGGUUAAGAGAGUUAAGCGUGCUAGGACGGGAGU
rnacentral:lncRNA from 1 species